rnacentral:rRNA from 1 species
GACGAACGCUGGCGGCGUGCUUAACACAUGCAAGUCGAACGGAAAGGCCCUGCUUUUGUGGGGUGCUCGAGUGGCGAACGGGUGAGUAACACGUGAGUAACCUGUCCUUGACUUAGGGAUAACUUCAGGAAACUGGGGCUAUUACCGGAUAGGAGCUCCUGCUGCAUGGUGGGGGUUGGAAAGUUUCGGCGGUUGGGGAUGGACUCGCGGCUUAUCAGCUUGUUGGUGGGGUAGUGGCUUACCAAGGCUUUGACGGGUAGCCGGCCUGAGAGGGUGACCGGCCACAUUAGGACUGGGAUACGGCCCAGACUCCUACGGGAGGCAGCAGUGGGGAGUAUUGCACAAUGGGCGGAAGCCUGAUGCAGCAACGCCGCGUGCGGGAUGACGGCCUUCGGGUUGUAAACCACUUUCGCCUGUGACGAAGCGUGAGUGACGGUAAUGGGUAAAGAAGCACCGGCUAACUACGUG